rnacentral:rRNA from 1 species
AUUGAACGCUGGCGGCAGGCCUAACACAUGCAAGUCGAGCGGAUGAAGGGAGCUUGCUCCUGGAUUCAGCGGCGGACGGGUGAGUAAUGCCUAGGAAUCUGCCUGGUAGUGGGGGAUAACGUCCGGAAACGGGCGCUAAUACCGCAUACGUCCUGAGGGAGAAAGUGGGGGAUCUUCGGACCUCACGCUAUCAGAUGAGCCUAGGUCGGAUUAGCUAGUUGGUGGGGUAAAGGCCUACCAAGGCGACGAUCCGUAACUGGUCUGAGAGGAUGAUCAGUCACACUGGAAAUGAGACAGGGUCCAGACUCCAACGGGAGGCAGCAGUGGGGAAUUUUGGACAAGGGGCGAAAGCCUGACCCAGCCAUGCCGGGUGUGUGAAGAAGGUCUUCGGUUUGUAAAGCACUUUAAGUUGGGAGGAAGGGAAGUAAGUUAAUACCUGGCUGUUUUGACGUUACCAACAGAAUAAGCACCGGCUAACUUCGU